rnacentral:rRNA from 1 species
GACGAACGCUGGCGGCGUGCCUAAUACAUGCAAGUCGAACGCAGUGGGGACGGGUGAGUAACACGUGGGUAACCUCACAUCUGAGGGGAUAAACCUUGGAAAAAGGUGCUAAAACCGAUAUUGAAGGCUGGACCCGCGGUGCAUUAGCUAGUUGGUGGGGUAACGGCUCACCAAGGCGACGAUGAAUAGCCGACCUGUGAGGGUGAUCGGCCACACUGGGACUGAGACACGCACCAGACUCCUACGGUAGGCAGCAGUAGGGAAUCUUCGGCAAUGGACGAAAGUCUGACCGAGCAACGCCGCGUGUGUUAAGAAGGUUUUCGGAUCGUAAAACUCUGUUGUUAGAGAAGCGGUAUCUAACCAGAAAGCCACGGCUAACUACGUGCCAGCAGCCGCGGUAAUUC